GCUUUCGUGGUGUAACGGUAGCACACUCGGCUCUUAUUCGAGAGGUUCGUGGUUCGAGUCUCGGCGAGAGCA
rnacentral:tRNA from 1 species